UUUUGUGCCACUGGUGGAAGGAUAAGCUUUCUAAGAAAGUGCAUUUCUUCACAGAGCUGUGUCAUACCAUCCUUUGGCCCUCUGCUGGAAAAGUAGAAUCAAGUCUCAAUAAUGCCUUUUUAAUUGUAUCCUCUAGUAUUAUAGACGUAGGACAGUACUGUAUCAUCCCUCUGUGAAUAUAAAUAUCUUGUACCUGCUUUAUGAUACGUAGUAGUGACUGUGCUUUAUCAGAGCUGUUUUUAAUGAUGUUACUCAAGAAUGUUUUCUUUCCAGAUGAUGAUUGAGAAGUUAAUAAAAAAAAAAAUGGUGCCAGGUACCACAACAGUAACAGAACUUCGCAUUUUUCUGGGGUUUUGUUUUUUAUCUUUUUUUUUCUUUUUAUUAAUGGAUGUGCUGGAUGUCUAAUUUUGUUCAGAUGACUGCAGAACCUGGAAAAGCUGUUGCUGCUAUUGAUGCAUAACAUACUGCUAUUAUUGGUCUUUUUAUAUAAAUAUAAAUAUAUA